rnacentral:rRNA from 1 species
AUUGAACGCUGGCGGCAGGCUUAACACAUGCAAGUCGAGCGGGGAAAGGUAGCUUGCUACCUGACCUAGCGGCGGACGGGUGAGUAAUGCUUAGGAAUCUGCCUAUUAGUGGGGGACAACAUUCCGAAAGGAAUGCUAAUACCGCAUACGCCCUACGGGGGAAAGCAGGGGAUCUUCGGACCUUGCGCUAAUAGAUGGGCCUAAGUCAGAUUAGCUAGUUGGUGGGGUAAAGGCCUACCAAGGCGACGAUCUGUAGCGGGUCUGAGAGGAUGAUCCGCCACACGGGGACUGGGACACGGCCCAGACUCCUACGGGAGGAAGCAGUGGGGAAUAUUGGACAAUGGGCGAAAGCCUGAUCCAGCCAUGCCGCGUGUGUGAAGAAGGCCUUUUGGUUGUAAAGCACUUUAAGCGAGGAGGAGGCUACCGAGAUUAAUACUCUUGGAUAGUGGACGUUACUCGCAGAAUAAGCACCGGCUAACUCUGUGCCAGCCGCCGCGGUAAAAC